rnacentral:rRNA from 1 species
GACGAACGCUGGCGGCGUGCUUAACACAUGCAAGUCGAACGGUAAGGCCCUUCGGGGUACACGAGUGGCGAACGGGUGAGUAACACGUGGGUGAUCUGCCCUGCACUUCGGGAUAAGCCUGGGAAACUGGGUCUAAUACCGGAUAGGACCACUGCCUGCAUGGGUGGUGGUGGAAAGCUUUUGCGGUGUGGGAUGGGCCCGCGGCCUAUCAGCUUGUUGGUGGGGUGAUGGCCCACCAAGGCGACGACGGGUAGCCGGCCUGAGAGGGUGACCGGCCACACUGGGACUGAGAUACGGCCCAGACUCCUACGGGAGGCAGCAGUGGGGAAUAUUGCACAAUGGGCGCAAGCCUGAUCCAGCGACGCCGCGUGAGGGAUGACGGCCUUCGGGUUGUAAACCUCUUUCAGCACCGACGAAGCGCAAGUGACGGUAGGUGCAGAAGAAGGACCGGCCAACUACGUGCCAGCAGCCGCGGUAA